UCUACUUCUGGUCCAUGUAUGCAUCCUUUAUCUUUAAUAUUAUGAUUAUUUACAAAUCACCAUUCAUUUUUGCAGCGUUAUACAAUAGGUCCCUUAAAAGGUCGGAAAUACAUUUUCUCCUUCAAAGUAAAUUGUUCCAUUCUCCAGUUAAGUUUGCCUAGCUUAUCCUUAUUUUGUGAUAUGAGUGCCAUCAGAAACACUGCCG